rnacentral:rRNA from 1 species
AUGCUGAAGCACUUACUGUGCCACUUCUGUACCCGCCCGAGGGCUUGCAGUUUGAUUGUUGAAACUGAUUCUGAGAUGUGUGUGAACCUGUGGAAGAACAGGGACGAUCACUGUGCAGAGAUCAGUAGGGUUCAUCCUUCGCGAGAUUCAGAGCUCAGUAAGGUUUUAGUUCCUUGGGAGUCUCCUUUCCUUGGUACCAAGGAAGGCCAAACCUGCACAUUAUUGUGCCAAAGGAAGCCAAGGCCAGGCCAAGUGCCAACUUGUGUACUGUGGGUGGUGCAAUCUGAUUGUAAUCUUACUUGA